GGCUUGCUUAUCACAGGCUGUGUUUUUACCUGACUGUAUAGAAAAAAAAUGCUGCCACAUUUUCACCAUCACCCAGGCCCUGUGUCUGGCCUGUGUCUGGUCUGUAUUGUGAAUGCAGAGACCUGG